CAAACAUAUUACUCGAUGAGGAGUUGAAUCCUCAACUGUCUGAUUGUGGUUUAGCUGCUUUAACGCCAAACACUGAACGGCAGGUUUCAACUCAGAUGGUUGGCUCAUUUGGUUAUAGUGCUCCUGAGUUUGCAUUAUCAGGAAUUUACACAGUGAAAAGUGAUGUUUACAGUUUUGGAGUGGUAAUGUUAGAGCUAUUGACGGGUCGGAAGCCACUUGACAGUUCACGAGCGAGAUCAGAGCAGUCGCUUGUGAGGUGGGCUACUCCCA